AUUGAACGCUGGCGGCAUGCCUAACACAUGCAAGUCGAACGAGUGGCGGACGGGUGAGUAAUGUAUGGGAAUCUGCCCGAUAGCGGGGGAUAACUACUGGAAAAGGUGGCUAAUACCGCAUACUAUCGGAUGAACCCAUAUGGGAUUAGCUAGUAGGUGGGGUAAAGGCUCACCUAGGCGACGAUCCCUAGCUGGUCUGAGAGGAAGACCAGCCACACUGGGACUGAGACACGGCCCAGACUCCUACGGGAGGCAGCAGUGGGGAAUAUUGCACAAUGGGGGAAAGCCUGAUGCAGCCAUGCCGCGUGUAUGAAGAAGGCCUUAGGGUUGUAAAGUACUUUCAGCGGGGAGGCGGUACCCGCAGAAGAAGCACCGGCUAACUACGUGCCAGCAGCCGCGGUAAUUC
rnacentral:rRNA from 1 species